GGGUUGUUAGCUCAGUUGGCUAGAGCAUCUCGUUUACACCGAGGGGGUCGGGGGUUCGAGUCCCUCACAACCCACCA
rnacentral:tRNA from 1 species